CUCGUAGGCGGUUUGGUAAGUCGGGUGUGAAAACUCUGGGCUCAACCCAGAGAGGCCACUCGAUACUGCUAUGACUAGAGUACGGUAGGGGAGCGGGGAAUUCAUGGUAUAGCGGUGAAAUGCGCAGAUAUCAUGAGGAACACCAGCGGCGAAGGCGCCGCUCUGGGCCGUAACUGACGCUGAGGAGCGAAAGCAUGGGUAGCAAACAGGAUUAGAUACCCUGGUAGUCC
rnacentral:rRNA from 1 species